rnacentral:rRNA from 1 species
UGGGGAAUAUUGCACAAUGGGCGCAAGCCUGAUGCAGCCAUGCCGCGUGUAUGAAAAAGGCCUUCGGGUUGUAAAGUACUUUCAGCGGGGAGGAAGGGAGUAAAGUUAAUACCUUUGCUCAUUGACGUUACCCGCAGAAGAAGCACCGGCUAACUCCGUGCCAGCAGCCGCGGUAAUACGGAGGGUGCAAGCGUUAAUCGGAAUUACUGGGCGUAAAGCGCACGCAGGCGGUUUGUUAAGUCAGAUGUGAAAUCCCCGGGCUCAACCUGGGAACUGCAUCUGAUACUGGCAAGCUUGAGUCUCGUAGAGGGGGGUAGAAUUCCAGGUGUAGCGGUGAAAUGCGUAGAGAUCUGGAGGAAUACCGGUGGCGAAGGCGGCCCCCUGGACGAAGACUGACGCUCAGGUGCGAAAGCGUGGGGAGCAAACAGG